ensembl:lncRNA
CCCCCAUGUCCCCUCUGUGUCCCCUCUGUGCCCCCCCAUGUCCCCUCAGUCUCCCUCUAUGUCCCCCCUAUGUCCCCUCAGUCUCCCCCCAUGUCCCCCCAUGUCCCCUCUGUGUCCCCUCUGUGCUCCCCCAUGUCCCCUCAGUCUCCCUCCCUGUCCCCCCUGUGUCCCCCCAUGUCCCCCAUACCCCCCCAUGUCACCUCCGUGUCCCUCUCUGCCCCCCCUGUCCCCCCCAUGCGACCCCCAUGUCCCCUCUGUGUCCCUCCAGGAGCACUGGGAGGUGGGGGGGGGAACUGGGAAGGGGCAAUGGGGAGAACUGGGAGAUGGGGGGGACUGAAAGGGGGAACUGGGGGGCACUGGGGCGGAACUGGGAGGUACUGGGGAGCACUGGGAGGCAGUGGGGGGCACUGGGAGGCACUGGGGGGGUGCUGGGGGGGUACUGGGAGGUACUGGGGGGCACUGGGAGGUACUGGGAGGCACUGGGAGGCACUGGGGAGCAGUGGGAGGUACUGGGAGGUACUGGGGGGCACUGGGAGCUACUGGGGGACACUGGGAGGUACUGGGGGGUACUGGGGGGCACUGGGGGG